rnacentral:rRNA from 1 species
UACGUAGGGUGCAAGCGUUAAUCGGAAUUACUGGGCGUAAAGCGUGCGCAGGCGGCUUUGCAAGACAGAUGUGAAAUCCCCGGGCUUAACCUGGGAACUGCAUUUGUGACUGCAAGGCUAGAGUACGGUAGAGGGGGAUGGAAUUCCGCGUGUAGCAGUGAAAUGCGUAGAUAUGCGGAGGAAUACCGAUGGCGAAGGCAGCCCCCUGGGAUAACACUGACGCUCAUGCACGAAAGCGUGGGGAGCAAACAGG